GGAACCUUCGUUUUUUGUUCAAACUGAAUUGACAAGUUUAUUGGUUGCCAUUCUAUUAAGAAAAUAUAUUCUCUUCUUCUCAUAUAGAAAAAUCUAAAAUAGGAAGUUUAGUUACACCAAAAUUUCCUACAUUCCAAUAAAAUCAAAUAAUUGAAAUUUGAAAAAAAAGGGGAAACUGAAGGAACCAAGAUUCCUAUUGUUGCACUAGAAUAAGCUCUUGGGCAUAAAAUUUUAAUAAAAUUUAGAUCUUAACUCAUCUCAGUGAUGGCUAAUCUUUUUCUAGACUAAAUUGUUUUUAUUCCCCAAGAUAAAUUUCAUUGUUUGUGCAAUAAAACAUUAUAUUUUUGUGUGGUAUUAACACUUUUUAUUUCAAAAUUAUAUAUUAACAUGGAUGUUUAUUUGUUGGAAUUUUAAAGAGGGC
rnacentral:misc_RNA from 1 species